rnacentral:tRNA from 1 species
ACCCGGCUGGCUCAGUCGGUAGAGCGUGUGAAUCUUGUUCUUGAGGUUGUGAGUUCGAGCCUUACAUUGGGUG